ensembl:snRNA U6 U6 spliceosomal RNA
AUGCUCGCUUUAGCACCACAUGUGCUAAAAUUGGAACAGUAGACCUUAGUGUGGCCCCUGAGCAUGGGUGACAGGCCAGCGUGUGAAACACUCCAUAUUUUU